GUCACUUUGGCGGAGUGGUUAACGCGCUGCCCUGCUAAUUCCAAGCUUAGGCAGUUCCCUCGGGAGCGUAGGUUCGAAUCCUGCAGGUGACG